AUGCUCUACUAACAACCAUAAUAAAUUUGGCAGUGAGAAAACUGUAUUAGCUUUAAGCAAAGGCCAUCUUUUUUUCCUUUGCUGCCUACAUAUAUAUACCAUUUCGUGGUUCCUUUGAAAUGUUCUUCUACAGCUUCUUAUCGAAGAAAAACAAUGGCUGGUGCACCACCUGCACAAAGGAUGUCAUGCUGUGAUCAGGUCCAGAAGCGCAAGGAGGAGAAAGGCUCCUUCUAUUCUUGUUUGUUUGCAUUUUUCUGCUGCUGUUGCUGCUAUAAGACUUGUGAACCUUGCUUAAACGGCGUCUGCUGUUGCUGCCCUUAGAUCUCUAUACUUCAAUAUAUGUGCUACUGAUUGUAUGAGGAAAAUCAUGAGUUAUUAUGUGAAUAAUAAAAUAUGAUUCUUUUCAUUCGAGUAGAGUUACACUUCACAUUACAUUUUUACA